rnacentral:rRNA from 1 species
AUUGAACGCUGGCGGCAGGCCUAACACAUGCAAGUCGAGCGGGGUUUUCGGACCUAGCGGCGGACGGGUGAGUAAUGCGUAGGAAGCUGCCCGAUAGAGGGGGAUACCAGUUGGAAACGACUGUUAAUACCGCAUAAUGUCUACGGACCAAAGUGUGGGACCUUCGGGCCACAUGCUAUCGGAUGCGCCUACGUGGGAUUAGCUAGUUGGUGAGGUAAUGGCUCACCAAGGCGACGAUCUCUAGCUGGUUUGAGAGGAUGAUCAGCCACACUGGAACUGAGACACGGUCCAGAGUCCUACGGGAGUCAGCAGUGGGGAAUAUUGGACAAUGGGCGCAAGCCUGAUCCAGCCAUGCCGCGUGUGUGAGGAAGGCCUUCGGGUUGUAAAGCACUUUCAGCGAGGAGGAAGGGGUUGUAGUUAAUAGCUGCAACCUUUGACGUUACUCGCAGAAGAAGCACCGGCUAACUCUGUGCCAGCAGCCGCGGUAAAAC